rnacentral:rRNA from 1 species
AUUACCGAGUUUACAACUCCCAAACCCCUGUGAACAUACCAAUUGUUGCCUCGGCGGAUCAGCCCGCUCCCGGUAAAACGGGACGGCCCGCCAGAGGACCCCUAAACUCUGUUUCUAUAUGUAACUUCUGAGUAAAACCAUAAAUAAAUCAAAACUUUCAACAACGGAUCUCUUGGUUCUGGCAUCGAUGAAGAACGCAGCAAAAUGCGAUAAGUAAUGUGAAUUGCAGAAUUCAGUGAAUCAUCGAAUCUUUGAACGCACAUUGCGCCCGCCAGUAUUCUGGCGGGCAUGCCUGUUCGAGCGUCAUUUCAACCCUCAAGCCCUCGGGUUUGGUGUUGGGGAUCGGCGAGCCCUUGCGGCAAGCCGGCCCCGAAAUCUAGUGGCGGUCUCGCUGCAGCUUCCAUUGCGUAGUAGUAAAACCCUCGCAACUGGUACGCGGCGCGGCCAAGCCGUUAAACCCCCAACUUCUGAAUGUUGACCUCGGAUCAGGUAGGAAUACC